UACAGAGACCUCAAGCGUUAUCCGGAAUCAUUGGGCGUAAAGCGUACCGACAGGUGGUCAUACAAGUCAGAAGUGAAAUCUCAAAGCUUAACUUUGAGUCUGUCUUUUGAAACUGUAUGACUAGAGGGGCAAAGAGGAAGCUGGAACGAACGGUGUAGUAGUGAAAUGCGUUGAUAUCGUUCGGAACACCAAUAGCGUAGGCAGGCUUCUGGGUGCCACCUGACACUGCUAGGACGAAAGCGUGGGGAGCGAAUGGG
rnacentral:rRNA from 1 species